AUUGAACGCUGGCGGCAGGCCUAACACAUGCAAGUCGAGCGGAUGAAGGGAGCUUGCUCCUGGAUUCAGCGGCGGACGGGUGAGUAAUGCCUAGGAAUCUGCCUGGUAGUGGGGGAUAACGUCCGGAAACGGGCGCUAAUACCGCAUACGUCCUGAGGGAGAAAGUGGGGGAUCUUCGGACCUCACGCUAUCAGAUGAGCCUAGGUCGGAUUAGCUAGUUGGUGGGGUAAAGGCCUACCAAGGCGACGAUCCGUAACUGGUCUGAGAGGAUGAUCAGUCACACUGGAACUGGGACACGGUCCAGGCUCCUGCGAGAGGCAGCAGUGGGGAAUAUUGGACAAUGGGCGAAAGCCUGAUCCAGCCAUGCCGCGUGUGUGAAGAAGGUCUUCGGAUCGUAAAGCACUUUAAGUUGUGAGGAAGGGCAGUAAGUUAAUACCUUGCUGUUUUGACGGUACCAGCAGAAUAAGCACCGGCUAACUUCGUG
rnacentral:rRNA from 1 species